rnacentral:rRNA from 1 species
GUGAGGAAUAUUGGUCAAUGGACGAGAGUCUGAACCAGCCAAGUCGCGUGAAGGAAGACGGUUCUAUGAAUUGUAAACUUCUUUUGUGCAGGAAUAAAGUGGGUUACGUGUAACCUUUUGUAUGUACUGUACGAAUAAGGAUCGGCUAACUCCGUGCCAGCAGCCGCGGUAAUACGGAGGAACCGAGCGUUAUCCGGAUUUAUUGGGUUUAAAGGGUGCGUAGGUGGAUUGAUAAGUCAGCGGUGAAAGUUUGCAGCUUAACUGUAAAAUUGCCGUUGAAACUGUCGGUCUUGAGUGCAAAUGAGGUAGGCGGAAUGUGUUGUGUAGCGGUGAAAUGCUUAGAUAUAACACAGAACUCCGAUUGCGAAGGCAGCUUACUGGGAUGCAACUGACACUGAUGCACGAAAGCGUGGGUAUCAAACAGGAUUAGAAACCCCAGUAGUCC